UACGUAGGGGGCUAGCGUUGUCCGGAAUCAUUGGGCGUAAAGAGCGUGUAGGCGGUCCGGUAAGUCCGCUGUGAAAGUCGGGGGCUCAACCCUCGAAUGCCGGUGGAUACUGUCGGGCUAGAGUGCGGAAGAGGCGAGUGGAAUUCCUGGUGUAGCGGUGAAAUGCGUAGAGAUCGGGAAGAACAUCGGUGGCGAAAGCGCUCUACUGGACCGCAACUGACACUCAGGGACGAAAGCUAGGGGAGCGAAUGGG
rnacentral:rRNA from 1 species